GGUGUUGUGGCUCAGCAGUAGAUCAUCUGCUUGGCAUGCAGCAGAUGCCAAGUUCAAUCCUUACCAUCUCCA
rnacentral:tRNA from 1 species